rfam:Entamoeba invadens IP1 unplaced genomic scaffold scaff_1105074724629, whole genome shotgun sequence.
UAGACCGUACGACUAGGAUCAUUCUUAGAGUAUGUCACUUUCUAUGUAACAAAUAGAAUUCACAAAAUAGGAUGAAGACUUUCAUUACUUCAGUGCCAAAGGGAGAUACGCAGAAAUGCACGAUGAACUACUUGUUGAGGGGUCGAGUGCGUUCACAACACUCUGAGAUGAGAGGCACUGAAGUCUGUCUGACUAUU